rnacentral:lncRNA from 1 species
CAAUGGAAAUCAAUAAAAAGAUAAACUCUUAAAACACACAAAUUUGUUCUAAGUGGAUUCGGUACCUCGAGGCUCAUUAUCUCUCUUUUGGGGCUCCUAAUGGAGUAAUCUCCAGAAUCUAUUCAAGGGAUAUUCGGAGAUUAGCUGAAUCCAACUCAAGAACAAAUUGAUAGAUUUUCCCUCUAAAAAUACAAAAAUUCAGUUCAAAAACUUCAAAGCAUUAAAAGGAAAUUCAGAGACUUAAAACAAAG